CCUGCCCCGAGAGGUGGUUGCAGGUGUGGCUGCUGUGUCACAGGUGCAUCAGUAGGUGGGCAGAGGGGACACAGGUUAUGUUUAUGCUCAGUGUUCUGACCUGUGAACAUCUGAAUGAUUAGCAGCCUAAUAUU